CAUUCUCUCAGUCCUUGCAGCCAUUUCCCUUGCUAAGAGAUUUCCGUUCCUGUUGUGUCCCCAGUGUUUGUCACGUCUUGUCUGUCCUGUGUCACGGGUGUCUGCACACAUUUGUGCUGGAGCUGCUGCUCUGCCCUGCUGCAUAUCCUGGUGCAAUAUGAGAAGUCUCAGGGACUUUGAAUUUGUAAUGUGUAGUUGGAUUCUAGAUGGGAUUUGUAGAUGGACACAGGAUACGUGGAGCCCAUAAGUUAUCCUGCAGCCCUUUCACUUUCAUCCUAACUUUCUUUUAGUUGCAGAAGGAUAAAUCCAGGGCAGAGCCCCCCAUUCUGGGUGAGGGGAUUCCCCUGUGAAGGAAGUCAAGGCAGAGAGCAGCUGUCAAGGCUGAGUGGGCAAGAUGGACUGCUUGCCAUCUAUCCUAGCCCAGCAUGCCCAUGCCAGGUGCUGUCGCUGCCCUAGGCAUGCCGGGGAAGAGAGGAGGGCAGGUGACUCGGAGUUUAGGCGGGCUGAUUCCUAGGUGAGCGUUAUGCAGCAGCAUGCUAAGUGUGUACAUUUUCUUUUUGCAGGUA